CUUAAAAUAAUAAGACAACCAGCUGGAAAGCUUUUAAAAACUUUAUUGCGUUUACUGAACUUCAGGAAUACAGUUGUACAAACUAAUUUUUUAAAGUUUGAUUCAGAGUACUGAUUACAUAAUGAAAAUUGUAGCAAGUAAUGCAGUUUAGAUUACUCAGGUACUCUUAUUAGGUAUUCAGACUACUUUUGGAUUACUUUUAGAUUACUUAUAAACUAAAGUUUUACAUUUGAAAUGUUUUAAUUGUUUACCCAGCACCAAGGAUACAACAGAUGGAUUCAUUGCACAUUGAUUGAUUUUUCAAUUAAGCAAUUUUUUGGAGAGAAAAUGCCGAUUUACAAUUUUAAAUGCAAGUAUUGGAUUUCCAAUGUGAAAUGUGUCAGAACAGUGCACUGCAGCCACAGACCCCUGUCCAUCGCCAAAAGUCUCUUCAAUAGGCAUGUGAGCAUCAGGACUGGACCCUGGAUCAAUGGAAGAAGAUUGUUGCAGACCACGUACCCUUCAUGGCAAUGGCGUUCCCUGAUGACAGUGGCCCCUUUCAGCGGGAUAAUACACCUGCCACACUGCAAAUAUAGUUAAGGAAUGGUUUGAGGAGCAUAGCAGAACAAGGUGUUGCCUCCAAUUCGACUGAGCAUCUGUGGGAUGGUCUGGACCAUCAAAUCCAAUGUACAAUGUCUUGGUGUCAGAUACCACAAAAAAGCGAUCUGCCUUCUCUUCCCUGUGGCUCCAGUUACUCUCCUGUGUUGCUUCGAUCAAGUACCUCUACUACUCAUCAUUGCCGAGGUGUGUGCUCACCAUUCUCCACUCUGGUCACCCCAACCGGCUACUCUGGUCAUCCCAUUCGACAAGUGCUUUACCCGAUUUCAAGGAUUGUCAUUCCCAUUCCAUUUACUACUCAUUCUGCCGGUCUCAAUAAAAUGGCAGUUUCCACUAAUCCUCUAUCGCCAGUCCGUCUGUUACAGUUAG
ensembl:lncRNA